rnacentral:rRNA from 1 species
GACGAACGCUGGCGGCGUGCUUAACACAUGCAAGUCGAACGAGUGGCGAACGGGUGAGUAACACGUGGGUGAUCUGCCUUGCACUUCGGGAUAAGCUUGGGAAACUGGGUCUAAUACCGGAUAGUGCAAGAUGAGCUCGCGGCCUAUCAGCUUGUUGGUGGGGUACGGGCUACCACAGCGCGACGGGUAGCCGGCCUUCGAGGGUGUACGGCCACAUUGGGACUUAGAUACGGCCCAGACUCGUACGGGAGGCAGCAGGGGGGAAUAUUGCACAAUGGGCGGAAGCCUGAUGCAGCGACGCAGCGUGGGUGAUGAAGGCCUUCGGGUUGUAAACUCCUUUCGACAGGGACGCGGUACCUGUAUAAGAAGCACCGGCUAACUACGUGCCAGUCGCCGCGGUAAUAC